ACUCCUACGGGAGGCAGCAGUGGGGAAUCUUAGACAAUGGGCGCAAGCCUGAUCUAGCCAUGCCGCGUGAGUGAAGAAGGCCCUAGGGUCGUAAAACUCUUUCGCCAGGGAUGAUAAUGACAGUACCUGGUAAAGAAACCCCGGCUAACUCCGUGCCAGCAGCCGCGGUAAUACGGAGGGGUUAGCGUUGUUCGGAAUUACUGGGGCGUAAAGCGUACGUAGGCGGAUUAGUCAGUCAGAGGUGAAAUCCCAGGGGCUCAACCCCUGGAACUGCCUUUUGAUACUGCUAGUCUUGAGUUCGAGAGAGGUGAGUGGAAUUCCAAGUGUAGAGGUGAAAUUCGUAGAUAUUUGGAGGAACACCAGUGGCGAAGGCGGCUCACUGGCUCGAUACUGACGCUGAGGUACGAAAGUGUGGGGAGCAAACAGGAUUAGAUACCCUGGUAGGAUAGCG
rnacentral:rRNA from 1 species